GGCAUGAGCCACUGCGCCCAGCUCAUUGAUAUUUAUUGAAUGCCUCCUAUUUGUCUGGCCCUGGGGAUGGUGGAGCGAAGAAGAAAAACUGAAUCUUGGCUCUCAUGGAGAGGAUGGGGGAGAGCGUUAGCACCAGCAACAGUGACCUCACACAGUGAGGGCACUGGGAAGGAAAUAAAAGAGGCAACACAGAGUGAUAGUGACACAGGAGAGUGGACUGGAAAGGCCGUCCUGAGGAGGAGACAUUUGGCUCAGCCGUGAAUGGAUCUAAAUCAGUAACUCAACCUCUCCUGUGAAUGCGUUUUACGAGGCCAGGAUAUGGUUUGGAGAAAUGCAGAUUCCUGGGCCCAGCAAAUCUGGGGAUGAUGACAAGGCAUCAUCGUGGGACACCAGCUUAGCAAUAGCACCCCCAGAAUAAGACUGCUUCCAGUUCAAUAAACCGCUACAAAGAGUCUAUUAAUGGUGGUAUCCAUCUGGACCUGCGGCCAUAGAGAAGAGACCCAAGCACAGUGGUUAUUAAAAAGCCCAUAUCCUUCAAAAAUUAUGAGUAGAUAUUAUAAAUUCCAAAAUGAUGAAGAGUUCAGGAUGAGAAGAUGGGGACUCACCCAGAACAAAGCAGCACACUGAUUUAUCCUUUGUCUCCUGACAGCAUUCCUUCCCCCGCUGGUCAUCCCGCCCAAUCACACAUGUG
rnacentral:lncRNA from 1 species